UAAGGAAUAUUGGUCAAUGGACGCAAGCCUGAACCAGCCAUGCCGCGUGAAGGAUGAAGGUCCUCUGGAUUGUAAACUUCUUUUAUCUGGGACGAAAACGGGAUUUUUAUCUCAAUUGACGGUACCAGAGGAAUAAGCACCGGCUAACUCCGUGCCAGCAGCCGCGGUAAUACGGAGGGUGCGAGCGUUAUCCGGAUUUACUGGGUUUAAAGGGUGCGCAGGCGGAUGGGUAAGUCAGGGGUGAAAGUCUGCAGCUUAACUGUAGAAUUGCCUUUGAUACUGCUCAUCUUGAGUGUGGGAGAGGUUGAUGGAAUUCCAGGUGUAGCAGUGAAAUGCGUAGAUAUCUGGAAGAACACCAGUGGCGAAGGCGGUCAACUGGCCCAUAACUGACGCUCAUGCACGAAAGCGUGGGGAGCAAACA
rnacentral:rRNA from 1 species